AUUGAACGCUGGCGGCAUGCUUUGCACAUGCAAGUCGAACGGUAACAGGCCGCAAGGUGCUGACGAGUGGCGAACGGGUGAGUAAUGCAUCGGAACGUGCCCAGUCGUGGGGGAUAACGCAGCGAAAGCUGCGCUAAUACCGCAUACGAUCUCUGGAUGAAAGCGGGGGACCGAAAGGCCUCGCGCGAUUGGAGCGGCCGAUGUCAGAUUAGGUAGUUGGUGGGGUAAAGGCCCACCAAGCCAACGAUCUGUAGCUGGUCUGAGAGGACGACCAGCCACACUGGGACUACGACACGGCCCAGACUCCUACGGGAGGCAGCAGUGGGGAAUUUUGGACAAUGGGCGCUAGCCUGAUCCAGCAAUGCCGCGUGCAGGAAGAAGGCCUUCGGGUUGUAAACUGCUUUUGUACGGAACGAAACGGUCCGGGUUAAUACCCUGGGCUAAUGACGGUGCCGUAAGAAUAAGCACCGGCUAACUACGUGCCAGCCGCCGCUGUAAAAC
rnacentral:rRNA from 1 species